rnacentral:lncRNA from 1 species
UUUCCAUUAAUUGUUCCUCGUUCUAACAGGUUUAAGCCCAGUGAAUAAUAUUCUAGCGCCUAGACCCGGCUCCAACAGUCCAGCUGUUCAUAAAGAGUUCACAGUGAAGAUGAAGAUGUUGACCUCCUCCGACCUCAGAGAUCCAUCCAUCAGAAGUCAGAUCUUACAGCAGUUGGUGGAAGCGUUUAACCUGCAGGGCGUCACUGACGCCAAGCUGCACUGGAGGACUUUAAGCACAGAUGGACGUGAACAGAAAAUAAACUAAAACCUCCACUGAGAUAUAAAAUGGAACCAGAGGGACGAUUUGAGAGCAGCAGAUUUGACCUUCUCAAAUGACCUGCGGCGGUUGUUUGUUUUUUUAAAAGUUUUUGUUGAUUUAAUUGAAUUACAAUCUCAUACGAUUCCCUGAAAGUUUAAAUAAAAAAAG